UACGGGGGGGGCAAGCGUUGUUCGGAAUUACUGGGCGUAAAGGGUUCGUAGGUGGCCCGCUAAGUCAGACGUGAAAUCCCUCAGCUCAACUGAGGAACUGCGUCUGAGACUGGCGGGCUCGAGUGCAGGAGAGGAACGCGGAAUUCCAGGUGUAGCGGUGAAAUGCGUAGAUAUCUGGAGGAACACCGGUGGCGAAGGCGGCGUUCUGGACUGCUACUGACACUGAGGAACGAAAGCCAGGGGAGCAAACGGG
rnacentral:rRNA from 1 species